rnacentral:rRNA from 1 species
GAAAGACCCCGUGAACCUUUACUAUAGCUUGACACUGAACAUUGAGCCUUGAUGUGUAGGAUAGGUGGGAGGCUUUGAAGUGUGGACGCCAGUCUGCAUGGAGCCGACCUUGAAAUACCACCCUUUAAUGUUUGAUGUUCUAACGUUGGCCCCUGAUCGGGGUUGCGGACAGUGUCUGGUGGGUAGUUUGACUGGGGCGGUCUCCUCCUAAAGAGUAACGGAGGAGCACGAAGGUUGGCUAAUCCUGGUCGGACAUCAGGAGGUUAGUGCAAUGGCAUAAGCCAGCUUGACUGCGAGCGUGACGGCGCGAGCAGGUGCGAAAGCAGGUCAUAGUGAUCCGGUGGUUCUGAAUGGAAGGGCCAUCGCUCAACGGAUAAAAGGUACUCCGGGGAUAACAGGCUGAUACCGCCCAAGAGUUCAUAUCGACGGCGGUGUUUGGCACCUCGAUGUCGGCUCAUCACAUCCUGGGGCUGAAGUAGGUCCCAAGGGUAUGGCUGUUCGCCAUUUAAAGUGGUACGCGAGCUGGGUUUAGAACGUCGUGAGACAGUUCGGUCCCUAUCUGCCGUGGGCGCUGGAGAACUGAGGGGGGCUGCUCCUAGUACGAGAGGACCGGAGUGGACGCAUCACUGGUGUUCGGGUUGUCAUGCCAAUGGCACUGCCCGGUAGCUAAAUGCGGAAGAGAUAAGUGCUGAAAGCAUCUAAGCACGAAACUUGCC